rnacentral:rRNA from 1 species
UACGGAGGGUGCGAGCGUUGUCCGGAUUUAUUGGGUUUAAAGGGUGCGUAGGUGGCUUUAUAAGUCAGUGGUGAAAUACAGCCGCUUAACGGUUGAGGUGCCAUUGAUACUGUAGAGCUUGAAACAAUUGGAGGCUGCCGGAAUGGAUGGUGUAGCGGUGAAAUGCAUAGAUAUCAUCCAGAACACCGAUUGCGAAGGCAGGUGGCUACGUUUUGAUUUGACACUGAGGCACGAAAGCAUGGGGAGCAAACAGG